rnacentral:tRNA from 1 species
GGGCCUAUAGCUCAGUCGGUUAGAGCAGGGGACUCAUAAUCCUUUGGUCCACGGUUCGAGUCCGUGUGGGCCCACCA